rnacentral:rRNA from 1 species
AAAUUUGAGAGGAGCUGUCCUUAGUACGAGAGGACCGGGAUGGACAUACCUCUGGUGUACCAGUUGUCGUGCCAACGGCAUAGCUGGGUAGCUAUGUAUGGACGGGAUAAGUGCUGAAAGCAUCUAAGCAUGAAGCCCCCCUCAAGAUGAGAUUUCCCAACUUCGGUUAUAAGAUCCCUCAAAGAUGAUGAGGUUAAUAGGUUCGGGGUGGAAGCAUAGCGAUAUGUGGAGCUGACGAAUACUAAUCGAUCGAAGACUUAAUCAAUUU